rnacentral:lncRNA from 1 species
GUGUUGAUUUGCUUCAGUCCAUCCCUGCUCCGUUCCUGGCUCUGGUAUCCCUUGUGGCCACAGAGCACUGCAGCAGCAAAGCUCCAGUCCCUUCCCCGGUCUCAGUGGGAAUUGAGGUCAUUGGAGUCAAUGGGCUCAUUGGGGUCUAUGGAGACAUUGGAUUCAAUGGGGUCACUGGGGUCAAUGGGGGUCAUUGGGGUCAGUGGGGUCAAUGGAAUCAUUGUAUUAUAUGGUGUCAUUGGGGUCAAUGGGGAUCACUUGGGGUCAAUGGGGUCACUGAGGCAAUGGGGGUCAUUGUGCUCAGUGGGGUCAUUGGAGUCAAUGAGGUCAUUGAGGCAAUGGGGACCAUUGGGGUCAGUGAGGGCUGAUGGAAUCAUUGAGGUCAUUGAAUUCACACGGAUUAUUAGUGUCAAUGGGGUCAUUGUAAUCAAUGGAGUCAUUGGGGUCAAUUGGGUCAUUGGCGUCAAUGGUUUUAAUGGGGUCAGUAGUUGUCAGUGGGGUCACUUGGGGUCAUUGUGGUCAGUGGGGUCAUUGGAGUCAAUGAGGUCAUUGAGGCCAUUGGGUCAUUGUGGUCUAUGGUGUCAUUGGAGUCAAUGGGGACAUAGAGGUCAAUGGGGACCUUUGGGUCAAUGAGGGUUGAUGGAAUCAUUGAGGUCAUUGAAUUCACAGGGGUUAUUGGAGUCAAUGGGGUCGUUGUAGUCAAUGGAGUCAUUGGGGUCAAUUGGGUCAUUGGGGUCAAUGGGGUCACUGGGGUCAGUGGGGGUCAUUGGGGACAUUGGUGUCAAUGAAGUCAUUGGGAUCAAUGGGGUCAAUGGAGUGAAUGGGGAUAAUGGGGUCAGUGGGGGUUAUUGGAGACAAAUGGGUCAUUGGAGUUACUAGGGUCAUUGAGGCCAUUGGGGGUCACUGGGGUUAAUGGGGUCUGUGGUGUCAAUGGGGUUACUGGGGUCAAUGGGGUCAUGUGGGGUUAAUGGGGUCAGUGGGGUAAAUGUGUUGUUGGGGUCAUAUGGGGUCAUGGGUAUCAUUAGAAACUUUGGGAUCGGUGGGGUCAGUGGGGUCAUGCAGGGUCAUUGGGGUCAAUGGGGCCAUGUGGGAUUAUUGGGAUCAUUGGGGUCAGUGGGGUUAUGGAGUUCAUGUAAGGUCACUGGGGUCACUGGGUCAAAGGGGUCAGUGGGGUCAGUGGUGCCAUUGGCGUUAUUGCAGGCUGUCACGGAGUUACCUAGAUAGAUCUGUGCCCGUGAC